CCUACGGGCGGCAGCAGUGAGGAAUAUUGGUCAAUGGACGAGAGUCUGAACCAGCCAAGUAGCGUGAAGGAUGACUGCCCUAUGGGUUGUAAACUUCUUUUAUAAAGGAAUAAAACGAGGCACGUGUGCCUUUUUGCAUGUACUUUAUGAAUAAGGAUCGGCUAACUCCGUGCCAGCAGCCGCGGUAAUACGGAGGAUCCGAGCGUUAUCCGGAUUUAUUGGGUUUAAAGGGAGCGUAGAUGGGUUGUUCAGUCAGUUGUGAAAGUGUGCGGCUCAACCGUAAAAUUGCAAUUGAUACUGGCAGUCUUGAGUACAGUUGAGGUAGGCGGAAUUCGUGGUGUAGCGGUGAAAUGCUUAGAUAUCACGAAGAACCCCGAUUGCGAAGGCAGCUUACUAAACUGUGACUGACAUUGAUGCUCGAAAGUGUGGGGAUCAAACAGGAUUAGAUACCCCUGUAGUC
rnacentral:rRNA from 1 species